rnacentral:rRNA from 1 species
AUGGAGAUUAUUUUGUAUGCUCAUGGUGUUGUGGCGGCUGCACGGCGGAGGGCUGCACGCUCGACUUCGACAUCGGCGUCUUCAACAAGGAGAAGAUCUCCCUCGCCAGCCACGAUGAGUAUAUGGUGGCGGGCGGGUGCAACCUCUUCCCACUGCUCCCGGAGGCGUCAAGGGCGUCAUGUCCUCUAUCAUGAUUGGAUGGGGCUCCCAGGUUCAGUCCCAUCUUCGCUUUGCUCCAUCACUGCACAGUUUCUCUCCUAUCUGUCGAGAUAUGUCUCUACUGCUAUUCUACUGAAUAUUGUUCUUGGAGCAUCAUAG